rnacentral:lncRNA from 1 species
AGGGGUUGGAAGUAUGAUUGGUAAUAUUUGGGUUAGUUGGACUAUUUAAGCUAUCAUGAAAGCAUAAUUUAGGCAUAUUAACCUAGUUGCUCAUGUUUUUUGGGAAUUUGCUACCUUAGGUCUCUUUAUGGACUAAUUAACAUCUAUAAAGGAGUUUAGAUAUCUCGACCUAGUCUGGAGUAGCAUUUGCCUAAAAUAGAUUCUGGGGAUUAGAAGUAAUCCCCUCCGG